CCGGCACGGGUGAGUAACACGUAUCCAACCUGCCGUCUACUCUUGGCCAGCCUUCUGAAGGAAGAUAAUCCAGGAUGGCAUCAUGAGUUCACAUGUCCGCAUGAUUAAAGGUAUUUUCCGGUAGACGAUGGGGAUGCGUUCCAUUAGAUAGUAGGCGGGGUAACGGCCCACCUAGUCAACGAUGGAUAGGGGUUCUGAGAGGAAGGUCCCCCACAUUGGAACUGAGACACGGUCCAA
rnacentral:rRNA from 1 species